rnacentral:rRNA from 1 species
UACGUAGGGAGCAAGCGUUGUCCGGAAUCAUUGGGCGUAAAGCGCGCGUAGGUGGCUUCAUAAGUCCGUUGUGAAAGUCAAAGGCUCAACCUUUGAAAGCCGAUGGAUACUGUGGAGCUAGAGUACGGAAGAGGCGAGUGGAAUUCCUGGUGUAGCGGUGGAAUGCGCAGAUAUCAGGAGGAACACCGAUGGCGAAGGCAGUUCUCUGGGCCGUAACUGACGCUGAGGAGCGAAAGCGUGGGGAGCGAACAGG